rnacentral:rRNA from 1 species
GUGCCAGCCGCCGCGGUAAUACCGGCAGCACGAGUGAUGGCCGAUGUUAUUGGGCCUAAAGCGUCCGUAGCCGGCCGGACAAGUCCGUUGGGAAAUCGACGCGCUCAACGCGUCGGCGUCCAGCGGAAACUGUCCGGCUUGGGGCCGGAAGACCCGAGGGGUACGUCCGGGGUAGGAGUGAAAUCCCGUAAUCCUGGACGGACCGCCGGUGGCGAAAGCGCCUCGGGAGGACGGACCCGACGGUGAGGGACGAAAGCCAGGGUCUCGAACCGGAUUAGAUACCCGUGUAGUCC